rnacentral:rRNA from 1 species
UACGGAGGGGGCUAGCGUUGUUCGGAAUUACUGGGCGUAAAGCGUGCGCAGGCGGUUUUGUAAGCCAGAUGUGAAAUCCCCGGGCUUAACCUGGGAAUGGCAUUUGGGACUGCAAGGCUGGAGUGUGGCAGAGGAGACUGGAAUUCCUGGUGUAGCAGUGAAAUGCGUAGAUAUCAGGAGGAACACCGGUGGCGAAGGCGGGUCUCUGGGCCGAUACUGACGCUGAGGAGCGAAAGCGUGGGGAGCGAACAGG